UGGAACAGUGGGUUAAGAUUGUGUGGCGACGGCGUCCAGGAGCCCUUUUGACGAAGAACUUUCUCCUUGUCCUCGACUCUUACCGUGGGCACUUGACCGACGACGCGAAGGCUGCGUUCGCCCAAGCGAACACGGACCUCGCUGUCAUACCGGGCGGCAUGACAGGCCAGUUGCAGCCACUUGAUGUCUGCAUCAACAAACCUUUCAAGGAUCAUCUGCGGAAAUAGUACACGGACUGGUUCACUGACAAAGACCACAUGCUAACGGCAACGGGCCGCAUUCAACGUGCAUCGCUAUUGCUGCUGGUGGGCUGGGUAGCUGCAGCGUGGGACGACAUCCCAGGUACUUUGAUUGUGCGUUCCUUUAAAAAGUGCAGCAUAUCUAACGCUCUUGACGGUACCGAAGAUAGUGCACUGUUUGAAGGUGACAGUGACAAGGAACAUAGCGACAAGUCUAGCAGUGACGACGACGUUGAAUGAGCUCUGCACGCUCAGAUUCAAUAAAUGCUGUUUUCAUUUUGUGAACGCUGUCCUUGCUUUUUUUGUUCAGCUUACAUUCGAGGCAAGUCUUUACAU
rnacentral:lncRNA from 1 species